ensembl:lncRNA
AGGCCAUAGUCAAGUCAAGUCAAGUUUAUUUAUAUAGCACAUUUAAAACAACAGUAGUUGACCAAAGUGCUGUACACAAAUACAAUAUAUGUGUGUACAUAGGCAGAGAUACGGACGCAGUAAGGUAUUGCAGUAAUACGAGUGAUUGAAAUUACCAUUUAAACAACCAAAGUGGUCCAAGCACAAUGAAAACAGUUCAUACUUCAAGUCACAAUGGGCGCAGCCAUCUUGAAUUCUGUCUCGGAAUUUCGCUCGGUCAACACUGAGUUCAACCGAGAUGGCGAGAUCGCCGUCCUCGGAAAAGGGGCGUGUUUGUGCGUGUCGCUAGGCAACGUCCUCGGACCUCCGAGACGGAUGGAUAUUAAAACGCACCAUAAACAUCCCGUUCAUUUUCACCGUCGAGAUUUUGAUUAAAAGCCUUAAUGUCGUAACCAUCCAAAUGAUACCUACCACGCGCCGUUAUAUCGUGAAUUGAUGGUAUUUUCUCCUGCUGAAGCCACACGUUAAUCGAGGCAACAUCUAGUUUUUUAGAAAAGCAUGUUUUAUUCGCGAUCAUUGAAAUAACUACCCUACCCAUAAAUCCUGUAGUGUGACACGACGUCUCUGAUUGGUGGUGCUCGACUUAACUUACCAGGAAACGUUUACUGGACACGCGAGAAUCAAGCCUUUGUGAUUCAUCACCAGUUAUGAAAAAAGAAAGUUAAUCUAUGGGCUGGAGCAGCUGUCUCUGAGAGGAAAAGAAAAAAAUUAUAGCUCAAAGAACAAAAGCAAUGGCAUCACUUAUAAUUACAUCUGUAACUACUUAUAAAGUACUAUGUUGCACGUGCAGAUGCGACCACUUCUUUUUUCUGGGCAGCUGAUUUGGCUUUUGAGACACGGACCAUCUUGUAGAGACAAGGCUCAAUCAAAGACCAAAAAGCCAUCAGGUGGUCGUAGCUGGCAAAUCUAUUCACAAAAGACAUCAAAUAAAAAACCUCAGUCACCUCCCUUUUACCUGUAUUGUGACUUGUGCCACUACCCAAUGGUUGCUCUACCCGGAUGGCACCAUAACUAAUCCCUGGCACUCUGAGCGAAAGAGUAGUGUUCCUGUCCGGGCCGUAUCUUUGGGAGGCGCUGUUUGGUGGUUUGCCGUGAACUUGCAUGCAGAUAAGUAGGGUGUUACCUGCUCAAUUCAUACAUUUUUACAAUUGUUUAUUAAUAGUAUUUUUGUUCUAGGACCAGCAUUGGUGGAGUUGGAGACGGUCUCAUUCUGGCGCUGUCGCUUCAGUGCUCCUAUUUUCAUCUCAUAGAAUAAUAACUUAUGACUUUUUUCAACUAUUUAAAAAUAAACUUUUGUAGACUUGAC